UAGGGAAUCUUCCGCAAUGGGCGAAAGCUUGACGGAGCAACGCCGCGUGAGUGAUGAAGGUCUUCGGAUCGUAAAACUCUGUUAUUAGGGAAGAACAAAUGUGUAAGUAACUAUGCACGUCUUGACGGUACCUAAUCAGAAAGCCACGGCUAACUACGUGCCAGCAGCCGCGGUAAUACGUAGGUGGCAAGCGUUAUCCGGAAUUAUUGGGCGUAAAGCGCGCGUAGGCGGUUUUUUAAGUCUGAUGUGAAAGCCCACGGCUCAACCGUGGAGGGUCAUUUGAAACCGGAAAACUUGAGUGGAGAAGAGGAAAGGUGAAAUCCAUGUGGUGCGGUGAAAUGCGGAGAGAUAUGGAGGAAAACCAGGGGCGAAGGCGACUUUCUGGUCUGUAACUGACGCUGAUGGGCGAAAGCGUGGGGAUCAAACAGG
rnacentral:rRNA from 1 species